UACGAAGGGGCUAGCGUUGCUCGGAAUUACUGGCGUAAAGGGUGCGUAGGCGGUUUGGCAAGUCUUGUGUGAAAUCUUUGGGCUCAACCCAAAGUCUGCACAAGAAACUGCCGGCUUGAGUAUGGGAGAGGUGAGUGGAAUUCCGGUGUAGCGGUGAAAUGCGUAGAUAUCGGGAAGAACACCCGUGGCGAAGGCGGCUCUCUGGACGCACUGACGCUGAGACGCGAAAGCGUGGGGAGCAAACAGGG
rnacentral:rRNA from 1 species